rnacentral:rRNA from 1 species
UACGUAGGGGGCUAGCGUUGUCCGGAAUCAUUGGGCGUAAGCGCGUGUAGGCGGUCCGGUAAGUCCGCUGUGAAAGUCGGGGCUCAACCCUCGAAAGCCGGUGGAAACUGUCGGGCUAGAGUACGGAAGAGGCGAGUGGAAUUCCUGGUGUAGCGGUGAAAUGCGCAGAUAUCAGGAGGAACACCAAUUGCGAAGGCAGCUCGCUGGACGUUACUGACGCUGAGACGCGAAGCGUGGGAGCAACAGGAU